rnacentral:rRNA from 1 species
UACGUAGGGUGCAAGCGUUAAUCGGAAUUACUGGGCGUAAAGCGUGCGCAGGCGGUUCGCUAAGACCGAUGUGAAAUCCCCGGGCUUAACCUGGGAACUGCAUUGGUGACUGGCGGGCUAGAGUAUGGCAGAGGGGGGUAGAAUUCCACGUGUAGCAGUGAAAUGCGUAGAGAUGUGGAGGAAUACCGAUGGCGAAGGCAGCCCCCUGGGAUAACACUGACGCUCAUGCACGAAAGCGUGGGGAGCAAACAGG